rnacentral:rRNA from 1 species
UACAGAGGGUGCGAGCGUUGUCCGGAAUCACUGGGCGUAAAGGGCGCGUAGGCGGCUGGGUAAGCGUGUGGUGAAAGUCCGGGGCUCAACCCCGGAUCGGCCAUGCGAACUGUCCAGCUGGAGCACGGUAGAGGCACAUGGAAUUCCGGGUGUAGCGGUGGAAUGCGUAGAGAUCCGGAAGAACACCGGUGGCGAAGGCGGUGUGCUGGGCCGUAGCUGACGCUGAGGAGCGAAAGCGUGGGGAGCGAACAGG